GCUUUCGUGGUGUAACGUUUAGCACACUCGGCAUGUAUUCCAGAGGUCUAGGUUCGAGUCCCGGCGAGGGCA
rnacentral:tRNA from 1 species